rnacentral:rRNA from 1 species
GACGAACGCUGGCGGCGUGCUUAACACAUGCAAGUCGAACGAAGUGGCGAACGGGUGAGUAACGCGUAAUCAACCUGCCCUUCAGAGGGGGACAACAGUUGGAAACGACUGCUAAUACCGCAUACUGAAGGAGGGGAUUGCGUCUGAUUAGCUAGUUGGAGGGGUAAAGGCCCACCAAGGCGAUGAGCAGUAGCCGGUCUGGGGGGAUGGACGGCCACAAUGGGACUGGUGCACGGCCCAGACUCCUACGGGAGGCAGCAGUGGGGAAUCUUUCGCAAUGGACGGAAGUCUGACGGAGCAACGCCGCGUGGGUGAUGACGGCCUUCGGGUUGUAAAGCUCUGUUAAUCGGGACGCGGUACCGGAAUAGAAAGCCACGGCUAACUACGUGCCAGCAGCCGCGGUAAUAC